rnacentral:rRNA from 1 species
AUUGAACGCUGGCGGCAUGCCUAACACAUGCAAGUCGAGCGGAUGCAGCGAGCUUGCUCCUGCAUGCAGCGGCGGACGGGUGAGUAAUGCCUAGGAAUCUGCCUGGUCGUGGGGGAUAACGUCCGGAAACGGGCGCUAAUACCGCAUACGUCCUGAUGUCGAAAGUGGGGGAUCUUCGGACCUCACGCUAUCAGAUGAGCAUAGGUCGGAUUAGCUAGUUGGUGGGGUAAAGGCCUACCAAGGCGACGAUCCGUAACUGGUCUGAGAGGAUGAUCAGUCACAUUGGCAGUGAGACACGGUCCAGACUCCUACGGGAGGAAGCAGUGGGGAAUCUUGGACAAUGCGGGAAAGCCGAAUCCAGCACAGCCGGCUGUGUGCAGAAGGUCUUCGGAUUGUAAAGCACUUUAAGUUGGGAGGAAGGGAAGUAAGUUAAUCCCUUGCUGUAUUGACGUUACCAACAGAAUAAGCACCGGCUAACUUCGUG